rnacentral:rRNA from 1 species
AGUGAACGCUGGCGGCAGGCCUAACACAUGCAAGUCGAGCGGCAGCGCGGGGGCAACCCUGGCGGCGAGCGGCGGACGGGUGAGGAAUUCGUCGGAAUCUGCCUUUUUGUGGGGGAUAACGUAGGGAAACUUACGCUAAUACCGCAUACGUCCUACGGAAGAAAGUGGGGGACCGCAAGGCCUCACGCAGAAAGAUGAGCCGACGACCGAUUAGCUAGUUGGUGGGGUAAAGGCCCACCAAGGCGACGAUCGGUAGCUGGUCUGAGAGGAUGAUCAGCCACACUGGGACUGAGACACGGCCCAGACUCCUACGGGAGGCAGCAGUGGGGAAUAUUGGACAAUGGGCGCAAGCCUGAUCCAGCCAUGCCGCGUGUGUGAAGAAGGCCUUCGGGUUGUAAAGCACUUUUGUCCGGAAAGAAAUCCCUGGAGCUAAUACCUUCGGGGGAUGACGGUACCGGAAGAAUAAGCACCGGCUAACUUCGUG